UACGUAGGGGGCGAGCGUUGAUCGGAAUUACUGGGCGUAAAGGGCGCGUAGGCGGCCUUCUAAGUCAGACGUGAAAUCCCCCGGCUUAACCUGGGAACUGCGUCUGAUACUGGGAGGCUUGAGUAUGGGAGAGGGAUGUAGAAUUCCAGGUGUAGCGGUGAAAUGCGUAGAUAUCUGGAGGAAUACCGGUGGCGAAGGCGGCAUCCUGGACCAUUACUGACGCUGAGGCGCGAAAGCUAGGGGAGCAAACGGG
rnacentral:rRNA from 1 species